rnacentral:rRNA from 1 species
ACGGACUCCUACGGGAGGCAGCAGUAGGGAAUUUUUCACAAUGGACGAAAGUCUGAUGAAGCAAUGCCGCGUGAGUGAUGGCGGCCUUCGGGUUGUAAAGCUCUGUUGUAAGGGAAGAAAAAAUAAAGUAGGAAAUGACUUUAUCUUGACAGUACCUUGCCAGAAAGCCACGGCUAACUAUGUGCCAGCAGCCGCGGUAAU